rnacentral:lncRNA from 1 species
UUAGAAUCAUCCAUGGAUGCCCUUUGUUCUGUGAGCUUCCUGCCGAAAGAGGCCUCUGCACUAAAGGUAUUUGAUAGGGCUUAUGUCUGAUGGUGACUUUGUUACCAGGCUAAACCCGAGUCCAUUCACCUGCACCCAGUAAAGCCAAUCUACUGUUAGCAUCUAUUGCAGGACACCAAGCAAGGAGAACAGGCAACUCCUGCUCAAAAGACCCAAACUCCCGGAUGGCUUUCAGGGAAAGAGGUGCAUGGCUCAUGAUCUGCUUGUGCCCAGUUCUCAGAUUGGCUGGCAUCAAGGUGAAGUUUCAAGCAUCAUCAACCUUCUGGUUUCAACUAGUCUCUGUUAUUAUGGUCAGUAGUUUUCAUCUGGCGGUGGUUUGCUUCCUGUAAAAUUAGCUUAGGACUGUGUUUCAGGCCUUUAUAUGUUUUAGGGAACUGGGAGUUUAAUGAUUCGCUGUGUGGCAGGUUUAUAGUCUAAACUGUUUAGCAGUUCCCUGGCCCAGCAGCUAUUCUUUGCUUCCACAUCUGCACAUUUCCUAUCACUGUUUCUUGCAUCAGCCAUUUGAGACUCAAGCAAAGAGCCUUUUACCUCAAAGGACAGGGACACAGGGGCUUGUACAUGGUUUCAACUUGACACUGCUCUCUGUUGCAUUUCAAGCUUAUUUUACCUACUCCCUCGGUCCGACCUCAAAAGAGGGAAAGGGAACAUAUCAAAUGAUGUGUGUCUCAUAACCUAGUGAGCGGUGUAUUUUGAAGCAGUGAGGACUUCUUAUGUAACACCCACAGCAGUUUAGAAACCAUCCAUAAAUACUUGUUUCCAGUGGAGCUAAUGAGCGUAUCAGCCUAAUUUAACUUGUAGGAGUGAGACCUCUCCAAUAAUGUCUAUCCCAAAUCGUCUUUCUUCUUUAUACUUCUAGUUUGUUUGUGUAUCUCUCUUUGGGCUAUCUACUUAAUCGUUCACAAUGGAAUUGUCUCCAUAUUUAUUUAGAUCAGUGGUUCUCAACCUUGGCUGCCAUUGAGAAUCAUCCAGGGAACUUUUAAAAAUUGGAAAGCCUGGGCCGCACACCAGACCCGUUACAUAAGCACUGGGGGGGAUGGGGGGGGGGAACAGUAGGAUCCAGGCAUUAGUAAUUUCUCCAGAGUCCCUCAGAUGACAUGAAUGUGUAGCCAGGGUUAAAAAACAUUAUUAUUUUUUCUCUUUUUUCCUUUUUUUUUUCUUUUUUUUUUUUUCUUUUUAGGGCUCCAUCUACAGCAUAUGGAAGUUUCUGGGCUAGAGAUCAAAUGGGAGCUGCAGCUGCAGACCUAUCCCACAGCCACAGCAACACCGCAGCUUGCAGCCGUGCUAGAUCCUUAACCCACUGAGCAAGGCCGGGGGUCAGACCCGCAUCCUCAAGGAAACUAGUCAGGUUCUUAAGCUGAGUCACAACGGGAACUCCAAAAACCAGAGGGCUUGUUAAGAUUUAGAUUGCUGGUCCCACCUCCCCGCCAGAGUUCCUGAUUAAGCAGGUCGGGGGGUGGGCCCUAAAAAUGUUCCGUUUUUAACGAGGUCCCAGGUGAUGCUGAUGGUGCUGGUUUUCGGGCCGCACUUUGAGAACCAUGGGAAAUAGAAACUGCGUUAGAAAAGAAAGACUGGAGGGCCCAUCCUCAGUGCCCGCCAAGCUGUGUGUGUGCAGCUUCAUCCCAGUGCAGGUGAUGGAUGGGGAGCACGAGCCUAUGUGCUGGCUGGUAGGAGGGCACAAAAGGAGAAGACAGCACCCCAGAACCCCGAGGAAGCCUCGGGAUGGAAGGAGGCAGGGCCUGGGGCUAGGCAGCGGCAAGGUUGCCAGCAGCUGUGGAGUGGCGGAGAGGCGGGGGCUGGGGAGCCUUCACCCUUAUUUGAUCUCUGGCCCAGCUCCCAUCGCCCCCUGCAGCUCAGUGCUGACCUCUGCAAGACUGGAGCAAUAGCAAUGUUUGGACUGCUUGUAUUUGUUCAAAAAGCAGUCCUUUCAGAACAUCCGUGAUCCCCUUUUCAUCCCUCUAACAACAACAAAAUAUUUUGAAGCGGCAGGAAGAAAAUCAUUCCGGAUUUGAGAGCCUUCAGCAGGGUCAUGUGCUCCAAGGCAUAGCCUCCACCACUCCCUGUAAUCUUGUCACCGAUUUUUCUCCACUCCUUUCUUUACCAGCUUAGGUGUCCUGAUGUGACACCUAGAACCAAGGGUCCCAUUUUAUGACCCAAGACGGAAGCUGUCCUGGAAGCAAAACGGUCUCAAACAGCAGAGGGAAAGAUGGAAAGAACCUAGGACUUCAAUGAUUGUCUCGUGCUGCUGAAACAAACCAACUCUGGGAGAGUCCAGCUUCUGGACGUCUUCCAUGUAAUAAUCCCUUUUUUUUUGUUUGUUUGUUUGUUUGUUAAGAAAAGAGGGCAGAAGGAAAGGGAAGAUAAAAAGGAAACAGAAAGAAAAGGGAGGGAAGAGAGAAAAAAGAGGUGGGAUAGAAAAAAGAAAAAAUCCCCCGCGCAGAAGUGGCCCUAGAAAU